AUUGAACGCUGGCGGAAUGCUUUACACAUGCAAGUCGAACGGCAGCACGGACUUCGGUCUGGUGGCGAGUGGCGAACGGGUGAGUAAUGUAUCGGACCGUGCCCAGUCGUGGGGGAUAACGUAGUGAAAAUUACGCUAAUACCGCAUACGAUCUAUGAAUGAAAGCGGGGGAUCGCAAGACCUCGUGCGACUGGAGCAGCCGAUAUCAGAUUAGGUAGUUGGUGGGGUAAAGGCCCACCAAGCCAACGAUCUGUAGCUGGUCUGAGAGGACGACCAGCCACACUGGAGCUGAGACACGGUCCAGACUCCUACGGGAGGCAGCAGUGGGGAAUUUUGGACAAUGGGCGAAAGCCUGAUCCAGCCAUUCCGCGUGCAGGAUGAAGGCCCUCGGGUUGUAAACUGCUUUUGUACAGAACGAAAAGGUUUCUACUAAUACUAGGAGCUCAUGACGGUACUGUAAGAAUAAGCACCGGCUAACUACGUGCCAGCAGCCGCGGUAA
rnacentral:rRNA from 1 species